AUCCAGUUGACCAGUCUCAAAUAGGACGAAAUGCGCAUCUUGGAU
rnacentral:hammerhead_ribozyme from 1 species